rnacentral:rRNA from 1 species
UACGAAGGGGGCUAGCGUUGCUCGGAAUUACUGGGCGUAAAGCGCACGUAGGCGGAUACUUAAGUCAGGGGUGAAAUCCCGGGGCUCAACCCCGGAACUGCCUUUGAUACUGGGUAUCUCGAGUCCGGAAGAGGUGAGUGGAAUUCCGAGUGUAGAGGUGAAAUUCGUAGAUAUUCGGAGGAACACCAGUGGCGAGGGCGGCUCACUGGUCCGGUACUGACGCUGAGGUGCGAAAGCGUGGGGAGCAAACAGG